AGCUUUGAACAGUGGCAGUAUUGUAGCCAAUGAGGUUUAUCCAAGGUACGAUUAUUGCUAAUUGAAAACUCAAGUCACCAUGAUGCCAACACCUGCCCCACAACAAAACAGUUUAACAUCUCACAGCUCAUGACUGAU
ensembl:snRNA U4 U4 spliceosomal RNA